rnacentral:tRNA from 1 species
GGAGAGAUGGUUGAGCGGAGCAAAGCGACGGAUUGCUAAUCCGUAGUACGGAUUAUCCAUACCGAGGGUUCGAAUACCUCUCUCUCUCCG